rnacentral:rRNA from 1 species
GACGAACUCUGGCGGCGUGCUUAACACAUGCAAGUCGAACGGAAAGGCCCUGCUUUUGUGGGGUGCUCGAGUGGCGAACGGGUGAGUAACACGUGAGUAACCUGCCCUUGACUUUGGGAUAACUUCAGGAAACUGGGGCUAAUACCGGAUAGGAGCUCCUGCUGCAUGGUGGGGGUUGGAAAGUUUCGGCGGUUGGGGAUGGACUCGCGGCUUAUCAGCUUGUUGGUGGGGUAGUGGCUUACCAAGGCUUUGACGGGUAGCCGGCCUUAGAGGGUGACCGGCCACAAUGCGACUGAGAUACGGACCAGACGCCUACGGGAGGCAGCAGUGGGGAAUAUUGCACAAUGGGCGGAAGCCUGAUGCAGCAACGCCGCGUGCGGGAUGACGGCCUUUGGGUUGUAAACCGCUUUCGCCUGUGACGAAGCGUGAGUGACGGUAAUGGGUAAAGAAGCACCGGCUAACUACGUG